AAGUCUCUUCUACCAACUUGAAAACGUGCUAUGGACGUGGUGCAGCUUCCUCCUGCCUGUUGCACCUUCGUCGCGGCGUUCACGGUCAUCGUGUAAGGCAGAGGGCCAAAGAAAGGCUAAUUUUGAAGAAUAUGAUGCAAAAAAGCGAGAGAAUGCUCAAAAGAUUAUUGAUCUCAAAAAAAAUAUCAAAGAACUUUACGUGAAAUAUGCGAGAGCGAAAACUAAUAAAGAAGCGAUGGAACGAGCGGC